rnacentral:rRNA from 1 species
UAGGGAAUCUUCCACAAUGGGCGCAAGCCUGAUGGAGCAACACCGCGUGAGUGAAGAAGGGUUUCGGCUCGUAAAGCUCUGUUGUUAAAGAAGAACACGUAUGAGAGUAACUGUUCAUACGUUGACGGUAUUUAACCAGAAAGUCACGGUGAACUACGUGCCAGCAGCCGCUGUAAUACGUAGGUGGCAAGCGUUAUCCGGAUUUAUUGGGCGUAAAGACAGUGCAGGCGGUUUUCUAAGUCUGAUGUGAAAGCCUUCGGCUUAACCGGAGAAGUGCAUCGGAAACUGGAUAACUUGAGUGCAGAAGAGGGUAGUGGAACUCCAUGUGUAGCGGUGGAAUGCGUAGAUAUAUGGAAGAACGCCAGUGGCGAAGGCGGCUACCUGGUCUGCAACUGACGCUGAGACUCGAAAGCAUGGGUAGCGAACAGG